UUGAAAAAUAUGAAUAGAAAAUAAAGCAUCGCAUAAAUGCUAUGUACAUAUGUAUGAUUGUAUAAUAUCAUGCGGCAUACAAGAAAUUAAAUACCAUGCUUAUUUGUUGCAGAUUAGUGGAUGCAAAUUUGACAACAGGAUAUGGAAAUGAAGAUUUCUACAAAGUGAGGUCACUGCGGAAUUUUAGAAACUGAUUUUCUAAUCGUUAGCAGAGAAGCUACUACAUAUAUGUAUUUAUGACGCGUCUCAGGCCAAGAGUUCUCACUGGAAAAACAUCCAAAAAAAUUAUUGUACAGAAAAUUUAAAGGUUUGUAUAUUUCAGGUCGACAUUUUGUUAACCACGAUGACGCUAUAUUUACAACAAAAUUUAUCAACAGAUGCUUUGAAAUAAAAAGGAAUAAACAAAUAAAAUCUGUAAAAAAGGAAAGCUAUAAAUAAAGCAAAUCAAGAAAUUUUA